CCAGACUCCUACGGGAGGCAGCAGUGGGGAAUAUUGCACAAUGGGGGAAACCCUGAUGCAGCGACGCCGCGUGAGUGAAGAAGUAUUUCGGUAUGUAAAGCUCUAUCAGCAGGGAAGAUAAUGACGGUACCUGAGUAAGAAGCCCCGGCUAACUACGUGCCAGCAGCCGCGGUAAUACGUAGGGGGCAAGCGUUAUCCGGAAUUACUGGGUGUAAAGGGAGCGUAGACGGUGAAGUAAGUCUGGAGUGAAAGGCGGGGGCCCAACCCCCGGACUGCUCUGGAAACUAUUUGACUGGAGUGCAGGAGAGGUAAGCGGAAUUCCUAGUGUAGCGGUGAAAUGCGUAGAUAUUAGGAGGAACACCAGUGGCGAAGGCGGCUUACUGGACUGUAACUGACGUUGAGGCUCGAAAGCGUGGGGAGCAAACAGGAUUAGAUACCCCAGUAAAA
rnacentral:rRNA from 1 species